UACCUCUCUAAACAACUAGACGGGGUUUCUAAAGGAUGGCCCCCGUGUUUAAGGGCCUUGGCAGCAACUGCCCUGCUAGUACAAGAAGCAGAUAAGCUGACUCUUGGACAAAACCUGAACAUAAAGGCCCCCCAUGCUGUGGUGACUUUAAUGAAUACUAAAGGACAUCAUUGGCUAAUGAAUGCUAGACUCACUAAGUACUAAAGUUUGCUCUGUGAAAAUCCCCAUAUAACCAUUGAAGUUUGUAACACCCCGAACCCCGCUACCUUGCUCCCAGUAUCAGAGAGCCCUGUCGAGCAUGACUGUGUAGAAGUGUUGGACUCAGUUUACUCUAGCAGACCUAACCUCCAGGACCAGCCUUAGGCAUCAGUAGACUAGGAACUAUACAUGGCUGGGAGCAGCUUCAUCAACCCACAAGGAGAGAGAUGUGCAAGAUAUGCGGUGGUAACUCUGGACACUGUUGCUGAAGCCAGAUCGUUUCCCCUGGGCACUUCAGCUCAGAAAGCUGAACUCAUUGCUUUAAUUCGGGCCUUACAACUCAGUGAAGCUAAGAAUGUCAACAUUUACACUGACUCUCAAUAUGCCUUUUCAACCCUUCAAGUGCAUGGAGCAUUAUAUAAAGAAAAGGGCCUAUUGAACUCUGGGGGAAAAGACAUAAAAUAUCAACAAGAAAUCUUGCAAUUAUUAAAAGCCGUAUGGAGACCCCACAAGGUGGCAGUUAUGCAUGGCAGAGGACACCAGCGAGCUUCCACCUUGGUGGGUUUAGGCAAUUCCCGCGCUGACUUAGAGGCUCGAAAAGCAGCAUCUGCCCCCUUCCGGGCAUCAGUCACAGCCCCCAUGCUCCCUCAAGCACCUGAUCUUGUACCUACUUAUUCUAAAGAAGAAAAAGACUUUCUCCAGGCAGAGAGAGCACAAGUGAUGGAGGAAGGAUGAAUUCGGUUACCGGAUGGGAGAGUAGCUGUGCCACAGCUGCUAGGAGCUGCAGUUGUACUGGCUGUGCAUGAAACCACCCAUCUAGGUCAGGAAUCACUUGAAAAGUUGUUAGGCUGGUAUUUCUACAUCUCGCAUUUGUCAGGCCUUGCCAAAACGGUGACGCAGUGGUGUGUUACCUGCCGACAGCAUAAUGCGAGGCAGGGUCCAGCCGUUCCACCCGGCAUACAAGCUUAUGGAGCAGCCCCCUUUGAAGAGCUCCAGGUGAACUUCACAGAGAUACCAAAGUGUAGAGAUCUUAUUCCUAGAUUUGGACUGCCCUUAUGGAUCAGCUCAGAUAAUGGGCCGGCGUUUGUGGCUGACUUAGAACAGAAGGCGGCAAAGGUGAUCGAGUGUGGAUCAAGGACUGGAAAGUACCCUCUUUGUGUCCACGGUGGAAAGGACCCCAGACUGUCGUCCUGAGCACUCCCACCGCUGUGAAGGUAGAAGGAAUCCCAG